rnacentral:lncRNA from 1 species
AGCUUUUAUAGGCCGACAGAUGAUUAAGUCCCAGCCUAUUCUGCAGCACAGGAAAAUUCUUAAAAACAACAAUUUUAUUCUUUCACACUAUACCUUACAAAUCUAACAAUGUAAAAACAUUUCAUUACCUCUACCAAAUAUAUAUGUUUUAUUAAGUUAACGAUAUCUACAUUAAAACAAACAUCUAAUUUAGCACAACAUUAAAAUCAAACACCCCUCCUGCUCCUCACACAAUGGUCCCUCCUGGAACCUUCUUAAGGUGCUCCGGCUCUCUGGGGAAUCUUUUAGCCGGAACACCUGGGACCAGACCAGAGAUACAAAACGCUGGUCUCUUACUGCUUGAGACUUUGCGAGUGACUUCACCAAUCCAGCCAGCUCAUCAAACUUGUCUCCAACGUUGCUGGAUGUCAUGGUCUCCUGCUUCCCUGAUGCACAUGUCCCCUCGUCUGGCUCUUCCUGGCACACCUGCAGUCGCUCUGUCUUUCUUGUAUUCAUCCUUCUCAGUUACUCUGUGACAUGGGGCCCAGCUUCUGACACCACUUGUCAUAGGUAGGCCGUUUCAUUUAAGCGGUUGGAGGAACAGAGUACAGCUAAGGCCACGUUUCCAGGUGCAGACCAAAGUGUAUUUAUUAAUGAUUUCCAAGUAGAAAAGUAUUUACAAAGAAAUAGGCAAAAAACAAGGUUAAAACAUGUGCAGAGCUCCAAACAUAGCUCACAUCCUGCAGCACUCUUCUUCAACAAUGAAGCAGAGCAGCUUUUAUAGGCCGACAGAUGAUUAAGUCCCAGCCUAUUCUGCAGCACAGGAAAAUUCUUAAAAACAACAAUUUUAUUCUUUCACACUAUACCUUACAAAUCUAACAAUGUAAAAACAUUUCAUUACCUCUACCAAAUAUAUAUGUUUUAUUAAGUUAACGAUAUCUACAUUAAAACAAACAUCUAAUUUAGCACAACAUUAAAAUCAAACACCCCUCCUGCUCCUCACACAAUGGUCCCUCCUGGAACCUUCUUAAGGUGCUCCGGCUCUCUGGGGAAUCUUUUAGCCGGAACACCUGGGACCAGACCAGAGAUACAAAGUAAGUUCAUUUAUCAGACAAUUAUACAUUUUAUAUUUAGUUUCACUCAUACUUUACUCUCUGUUGCAGGUCCACAACCAUGGGAAAAGACAAUCAAUAAACAUCCGUUUUACAAAGAUAAUAUGCA